rnacentral:rRNA from 1 species
AUUGAACGCUGGCGGCAGGCCUAACACAUGCAAGUCGAACGAGUGGCGGACGGGUGAGUAAUGUCUGGGAAACUGCCCGAUGGAGGGGGAUAACUACUGGAAACGGUAGCUAAUACCGCAUACCAUCGGAUGUGCCCAGAUGGGAUUAGCUAGUUGGUGGGGUAACGGCUCACCUAGGCGACGAUCCCUAGCUGGUCUGAGAGGAUGACCGGCCCAACUGGAACUGAGACACGGUCCGGACUCCUACGGGAGGCAGCAUUGGGGAAUAUUGCACAAGGGGCGCAAGCCUGAUGCAGCCAGGCCGCGUGUAUGAAGAAGGCCUUCGGGUUGUAAAGUACUUUCAGCGGGGAGGCGUUACCCGCAGAAGAAGCACCGGCUAACUCCGUGCCAGCCGCCGCGGUAAUAC